AUUAUUUGCUUUAAUAAUAUGUCUGAUCCCGUAACCGGAGCGUCUACAGCAGACCUCGAGCAGGUCAACAGGGCAUUCGAAAGUUCAGUCGACUGCCAGCUGCUUACGGUAGACGCAAAGCCUAUUAACUUCUCAGCUCUAUACAAAAACGGCAAAACCAACGUCUUAUUGUUUCUAAGGCACUUUUCGUGCUAUAUAUGUCGAGACUACAUCACCGAAGUCGCUAAAAUGCAAAAAAAGCACGAGGCUGAAUUAGAAGCAAACAAUAUCAAUAUCGUGGCAAUUGGAUGCGGCGAGCCUCAAUGUAUUCCUACCUUCAAGCAAGACACAGCGUUUGAAGGCGACGUCUAUACCGAUCCAACUCGCAAAAUAUAUGACAACCUAGGACUGCAACGCGCUAAAAACCUUCUGGAAUUAUUUCAUGGACAGAGGGGGCAUAAAAAUGUCACUACUAAUGCGUUUUCAGGGAUACUGUAUUCUUUCAAACAAAUUAUAAACUACGGCUUUGGGAGCGGUGACAAACAACAAUACGGUGGAGAAUUUAUUGUCGGACCCGAUGAAAAAGUCCAGUAUGCUUAUCUCAAUCAAGGAGCCUUGGAUAUGGUAGAAGUUGAUACGCUGUUUCAAAAACUAGGCAUCAAUACGGAAUAACAUCAUUUCUCAGAUCUCCCAGUUCCAUUAAACUAAAACCAAUUCUUUUUUUGGGUAAGUGCAGACAACGUCUAGUAACAUAUGUUGUGAUAGAAUGAAUUUUUACAAGAAUGUAAAAAUAAAUCGUUUUUAUCACUUAAAA